CCUACGGGUGGCAGCAGUGGGGAAUAUUGCGCAAUGGGCGAAAGCCUGACGCAGCGACGCCGCGUGAGGGAUGAAGGUCUUCGGAUCGGUAACCUCUGUCAGCAGGGAAGAACGGUCACUGUGCUAAUCAGCAGUGAAUUGACGGUACCUGCAAGGGAAGCAUCGGCUAACUCCGUGCCCGCAGCCGCGGUAAUACGGAGGGUGCGAGCGUUAAUCGGAAUUACUGGGCGUAAAGCGCUCGUAGGCGGUAUGUCAAGUCAAGGGUGAAAUCCCCGCGCGCAACGUGGGAACUGCCUUUGAAACUGGCAAACUAGAGUGUAUGAGAGGGUAGUGGAAUUCCAGGUGUAGGAGUGAAAUCCGUAGAUAUCUGGAGGAACAUCAGUGGCGAAGGCGACUAUCUGGCACAUAACUGACGCUGAGGAGCGAAAGCGUGGGUAGCAAACAGGAUUAGAUACCCGAGUAGUC
rnacentral:rRNA from 1 species